CCUACGGGUGGCAGCAGUGAGGAAUAUUGGUCAAUGGACGAGAGUCUGAACCAGCCAAGUAGCGUGAAGGAUGACUGCCCUAUGGGUUGUAAACUUCUUUUAUAUGGGAGUAAAAUGUUCCACGUGUGUGAUUUUGUAUGUACCAUAUGAAUAAGGAUCGGCUAACUCCGUGCCAGCAGCCGCAGUAAUACGGAGGAUCCGAGCGUUAUCCGGAUUUAUUGGGUUUAAAGGGAGCGUAGGUGGAUUGUUAAGUCAGUUGUGAAAGUUUGCGGCUCAACCGUAAAAUUGCAGUUGAAACUGGCAGUCUUGAGUACAGUAGAGGUGGGCGGAAUUCGUGGUGUAGCGGUGAAAUGCUUAGAUAUCACGAAGAACUCCGAUUGCGAAGGCAGUUCACUGGACUGCAACUGACACUGAGGCUCGAAAGUGUGGGUAUCAAACAGGAUUAGAUACCCUGGUAGUC
rnacentral:rRNA from 1 species